UUGGAGGGCAAGUCUGGUGCCAGCAGCCGCGGUAAUUCCAGCUCCAAUAGCGUAUAUUAAAGUUGUUGCAGUUAAAAAGCUCGUAGUUGAAUUUCGGGAUCAAGGGAUCGGUCAUGCCUUGUUAUGUACUGGUCUUAUUGGUUCUCACCUUCUAAAGAACCAUGAUGUCAUUCAUUUGAUGUUAUGGGGAAUUAGGACUGUUACCUUGAAAAAAUUAGAGUGUUUAAAGCAAGCUUACGCUUGAAUACAUUAGCAUGGAAUAAUGAAAUAGGACAUCAGAUUCUAUUUUGUUGGUUUCUAGGAUCGAUGUAAUGAUUAAUAGGGAUAGUUGGGGGCAUUAGUAUUCAAUUGUCAGAGGUGAAAUUCUUGGAUUUAUUGAAGACUAACUACUGCGAAAGCAUUUGCCAAGGAUGUUUUCAUUAAUCAAGAACGAAAGUUAGGGGAUCGAAGACGAUCAGAUACCGUCGUAGUCUUAACCAUAAACUAUGCCGACUAGGGAUCGGAUGAUGUUAAUUUUUUAAUGACUCAUUCGGCGCCUUACGGGAAAC
rnacentral:rRNA from 1 species